GAGUGAAUACAUAGCUCAGUUGAAGGUAGACGUGGGGAACUGAAACAUCUAAGUACCCAUAGGAAGAGAAAGAAAAUUCGAUUCCCUGAGUAGCGGCGAGCGAAAAGGGAACAGCCCAAACCAAGAAGCUUGCUUCUUGGGGUUGUAGGACUGGACAUUUGAGUUACCAAGAAACGAAGUAGUUGAAUGAUUUGGGAAGAUCAGCCAGAGAAGGUGAUAGCCCUGUAAGCGAAACUUCGUUUCCUCAGCCCAGUAUCCUGAGUACGGCGGAACACGUGAAACUCCGUCGGAAUCCGGGAGGACCAUCUCCCAAGGCUAAAUACUCCCUAGUGACCGAUAGUGAACCAGUACCGUGAGGGAAAGGUGAAAAGCACCCCGGGAGGGGAGUGAAAUAGUUCCUGAAACCAUGUGCCUACAAGUAGUCAGAGCCCGUUAAUGGGUGAUGGCGUGCCUUUUGUAGAAUGAACCGGCGAGUUACGUUAGCGUGCGAGGUUAAGGCGCAAAGGCCGGAGCCGUAGAGAAAGCGAGUCUGAAUAGGGCGAAUGAGUACGUUGACGUAGACCCGAAACCAGGUGACCUACCCAUGUCCAGGUUGAAGGUGCGGUAAGACGCACUGGAGGACCGAACCCGUGUAUGUUGAAAAAUGCUGGGAUGAGGUGUGGGUAGAGGUGAAAUUCCAAACGAACUUGGAGAUAGCUGGUUCUCUCCGAAAUAGCUUUAGGGCUAGCCUCGGAGUUAAGGAUCGUGGAGGUAGAGCACUGUUUGGACUAGGGGCCCGUCUUGGGUUACUGAAUUCAGAUAAACUCCGAAUGCCACAGAUCUAUAUCCGGGAGUCAGACUGCGAGUGAUAAGAUCCGUAGUCGAAAGGGAAACAGCCCAGACCACCGAUUAAGGUCCCUAAAUAUGUGUUAAGUGGAAAAGGAUGUGGAAUUGCACAGACAACUAGGAUGUUGGCUUAGAAGCAGCCACCAUUUAAAGAGUGCGUAAUAGCUCACUAGUCGAGUGAUCCUG
rnacentral:rRNA from 2 species